CUAAAAGCAACACAAUAAACAUACAGAGAGAUCUGCAGCCCAGUGCUCAGGGAAGGGCAACUCGGUUCUCUUCAUUCCCUGAGCAGUCAGGAGGAGGCAGGGUCUUCAGUCAUCCCCGCUUCGCUAGCUGGACAGAGGGGAGGAGAUGUAGAGAUGUUUGUAGGAGCAGUGAACUGUAUAGCCACACUACAUCUGCAGAUGCCAUGCCUCAGAUAGCCCUCUCAUAUCCCUGAUGUGAAGAAUUCUUCCUGGGCUGGUGCAGCUGUGCCUUGGCCCACCAGGCAGCUGGACUUAACAAGCUCUCCCUUCGCUAUGUGUGGACAUUUACUUGUUGUGAUGUUUUUUGCUUAAGGAGGUUGAAAGAAGCUGAAACCGUGACAUGAGCUAUGCAGGCUACCAUGCACAGGGGUGUGCUCAUCAGAAGGAUGAACUCUCAGUCACAGAGGAAAAGACAUUACGGCAGUGGAGACAGAAAGUGAGUCAUGUGGGCAUCUCAAACAUAAUGCAAGAUUGAUUAAUUUCUGCAACGUGCAGCAACUGUUUCUGAAGCUUGGGCUCAUAGUGAUGUUUAAAGUGAACUUAUCUGCUGGGUAAUGAUUUAAUUUGUACACUUACUAAUUGUUGUAACAGCCAGGCAGCAGGGUAUUGAUUAUGUGCUGUGAAUGUUGCAUAGGCAACACAAUAAAUGGAAAGAGGUAGGUGUUC